UACGGGGAGGCAAGCGUUGUUCGGAAUCACUGGGCGUAAAGGGCGCGUAGGCGGCCCGCACAAGUCUGCGGUGAAAACCCCCGGCUUAACCGGGGGCCGGCCGUGGAAACUGUCGGGCUGGAGGCUGGGAGAGGGCAGCGGAAUUCCCGGUGUAGCGGUGAAAUGCGUAGAUAUCGGGAGGAAUACUGAUGGCGAAGGCAGGUCUCUGGGCUGACACUGACGCUCAUGCACGAAAGCGUGGGGAGCAAACAGG
rnacentral:rRNA from 1 species